UACGUAGGGCGCAAGCGUUGUCCGGAAUUAUUGGGCGUAAAGAGCUCGUAGGCGGCUUGGCAAGUCGGGUGUGAAAACUCCAGGCUCAACCUGGAGAUGCCACUCGAGACUGCUAUGGCUAGAGUCCGGUAGGGGACCACGGAAUUCCUGGUGUAGCGGUGAAAUGCGCAGAUAUCAGGAGGAACACCGGUGGCGAAGGCGGUGGUCUGGGCCGGCACUGACGCUGAGGAGCGAAAGCGUGGGGAGCGAACAGG
rnacentral:rRNA from 1 species